AUGUUGACACUAAACAACUACACAAGGACAAUCAAGUUUGUGUUUUGUAAAUAAGCGUCCACGUAUUCGUUUAGUUAUCAGUUGACAAGUAUAUAAAUUCUGAUACAAAACAUUAGAAUUGAUAGAACUAAAUAAACUUUGAGCUUCCAAUCACAGCGAUACACUGCAAAAUGUCCAAGUAUUUAAUUCUGUUGGUUUUAAUGGCAUUUAUUGCUACUGUUUAUACUGAAUGUAAACUUCCAGUUACACCAUGUGAAUCAGACGAUGAAUGCUGUCAAGGUUGGUGCGUUCCAUCACCGGUUUCUUCGAAUAAAAUGUGUAUAGUACCAGUGUAAAUCUCCCUCGAGCUUAUACUUAAAAGGUUAAAUAAUAUUCCAAAUUAUAUGCAGAUCGAAAUAGUAAAUUUUUUUAAAGCUUUUGAAUUGUGGAUUUUUCAUUGUAAAUUAUACUUAUGUCAAUAAUUUGUUAUGUUUAAUUAUUAAUACCUGAAUAAAUUGUUUAUUUAAAUAA